UAUAACACAUGCAAGUCGAACGAUGAAGCCUUUCGGGGUGGAUUAGUGGCGAACGGGUGAGUAACACGUGGGCAAUCUGCCCUUCACUCUGGGACAAGCCCUGGAAACGGGGUCUAAUACCGGAUAACACUCUGUCCCGCAUGGGACGGGGUUAAAAGCUCCGGCGGUGAAGGAUGAGCCCGCGGCCUAUCAGCUUGUUGGUGGGGUAAUGGCCUACCAAGGCGACGACGGGUAGCCGGCCUGAGAGGGCGACCGGCCACACUGGGACUGAGACACGGCCCAGACUCCUACGGGAGGCAGCAGUGGGGAAUAUUGCACAAUGGGCGAAAGCCUGAUGCAGCGACGCCGCGUGAGGGAUGACGGCCUUCGGGUUGUAAACCUCUUUCAGCAGGGAAGAAGCGAAAGUGACGGUACCUGCAGAAGAAGCGCCGGCUAACUACGUGCCAGCAGCCGCGGUAAUACGUAGGGCGCAAGCGUUGUCCGGAAUUAUUGGGCGUAAAGAGCUCGUAGGCGGCUUGUCACGUCGGAUGUGAAAGCCCGGGGCUUAACCCCGGGUCUGCAUUCGAUACGGGCUAGCUAGAGUGUGGUAGGGGAGAUCGGAAUUCCUGGUGUAGCGGUGAAAUGCGCAAAUAUCAGGAGGAACACGGUGCGAAGGCGGAUCUCUGGCCAUACCGACGCUGAGAACGAAGCCUGGGGAGCGACAGAUUAAUACCCUGGUAGUCCACGCCGUAACGUUGGAACUAGUUUGCGAUUCCGUCUCGGGCCGAAGCUAACAUUAAGUUCC
rnacentral:rRNA from 1 species